UCCGCAUGGUAGAACUAUUAAAGAAUUUCGGUCAUCGAUGGGGAUGCGUUCCAUUAGGUUGUUGGCGGGGUAACGGCCCACCAAGCCUUCGAUGGAUAGGGGUUCUGAGAGGAAGGUCCCCCACAUUGGAACUGAGACACGGUCCAAACUCCUACGGGAGGCAGCAGUGAGGAAUAUUGGUCAAUGGACGAGAGUCUGAACCAGCCAAGUAGCGUGAAGGAUGACUGCCCUAUGGGUUGUAAACUUCUUUUAUACGGGAAUAAAGUGAGGCACGUGUGCCUUUUUGUAUGUACCGUAUGAAUAAGGAUCGGCUAACUCCGUGCCAGCAGCCGCGGUAAUACGGAGGAUCCGAGCGUUAUCCGGAUUUAUUGGGUUUAAAGGGAGCGUAGGCGGACGCUUAAGUCAGUUGUGAAAGUUUGCGGCUCAACCGUAAAAUUGCAGUUGAUACUGGGUGUCUUGAGUACAGUAGAGGCAGGCGGAAUUCGUGGUGUAGCGGUGAAAUGCUUAGAUAUCACGAAGAACUCCGAUUGCGAAGGCAGCUUGCUGGACUGUAACUGACGCUGAUGCUCGAAAGUGUGGGUAUCAAACAGGAUUAGAUACCCUGGUAGUCCACACAGUA
rnacentral:rRNA from 1 species